AACGAACGCUGGCGGCGUGCCUAACACAUGCAAGUCGAGCGAGAAAGUCCCUUCGGGGGGUGAGUACAGCGGCGAACGGGUGAGUAACACGUAGGUAACCUACCUCCGGGACUGGGAUAACCUGUCGAAAGACGGGCUAAUACCGGAUAAGACCACGAAGACUCAGGGUUUUUGUGGUAAAAGAUGGCCUCUGCAUGCAAGCCAUUACCUGGGGAUGGGCCUGCGCGCCAUUAGCUUGUUGGUGGGGUAAAGGCCUACCAAGGCGAAGAUGGCUAGCUGGUCUGAGAGGAUGACCAGCCACACUGGGACUGAGACACGGCCCAGACUCCUACGGGAGGCAGCAGUGGGGAAUAUUGCGCAAUGGGCGAAAGCCUGACGCAGCGACGCCGCGUGGGUGAUGAAGGCCCUCGGGUCGUAAAGCCCUGUCGGGAGGGAAGAAACAUCGGCGACCGAAUACGUCGUCGACUUGACGGUACCUCCUAAGGAAGCACCGGCUAACUCCGUG
rnacentral:rRNA from 1 species